CCUACGGGUGGCUGCAGUGGGGAAUAUUGGGCAAUGGGCGCAAGCCUGACCCAGCAACGCCGCGUGAAGGAAGAAGGCUUUCGGGUUGUAAACUUCUUUUCUGAGGGACGAAGAAAGUGACGGUACCUCAGCCAUAAGCCACGGCUAACUACGUGCCAGCAGCCGCGGUAAUACGUAGGUGGCAAGCGUUAUCCGGAUUUAUUGGGUGUAAAGGGCGUGUAGGCGGGAAAGCAAGUCAGAUGUGAAAACUCAGGGCUCAACCCUGAGCCUGCAUUUGAAACUGUUUUUCUUGAGUGCUGGAGAGGCAAUCGGAAUGCGGGGUGUAGCGGUGAAAUGCGUAGAUAUACGGAGGAACACCAGUGGCGAAGGCGGAUUGCUGGACAGUAACUGACGCUGAGGCGCGAAAGCGUGGGGAGCGAACAGGAUUAGAUACCCUUGUAGUC
rnacentral:rRNA from 1 species